AUGUGUCUGGGUGUGUGUGUGUCUGUCUGUGUGUCUGUGUGUGUGUGUCUGUGUCUGUGUGUGUGUCUGUGUGUGUGUGUCUGUCUCUGUGUCUGUGUGUGUCUCUGUGUGUGCCUCUGUGCGUGUGUCUGUGUGUGUGUGUGUGUGUGUCUGUGUGUGUGUUUCUGUGUGUCUGUGUGUAUGUCGAUUUGUGUGUCUGUGCCUGUGUGUCUGUCUGUCUGUGUCUGUGUAUGUCUUUGUGUGUGUGUGUGUCUGUGUGUAUGUCGAUUUGUGUGUCUGUGCCUGUGUGUCUGUCUGUCUGUGUCUGUGUAUGUCUUUGUGUGUGUGUGUGUCUGUGUGUCUCUGUGUGUGUCAGCGUGUGUAUCUGUGUUUGUGCAUCUGUGUGUGUGUUUCUGUGUGUGUCUGUGUCAGUCUGUGUGUAUGUCUGUCUCUGUGUGUGUGUGUCUGCCUCUGUGUGUGCCUCUGUGUGUGUGUCUGUGUGUGUCUGUGUGUGUGUGUAUGUGUGUGUCUAUGUGUGUAGUAUGUCUGUGUGUGUAUGUGUGUUUGUGUGUCUCUGUGUGUGUGUCUGUGUGUGCGUGUCUGUGUGUAUGUCGGUUUGUGUGUCUGUGCCUGUGUGUGUGUAUGGGUGUCUGUGUGUGUCUCUCUGUGUGUCUGUGUGUGUGUGUCUGUGUGUGUGUCUGUGUGUGUCUUUGUGUGUGUGUCUUGUGUCUGUGUCUGUGUCUCUGUGUGUGUCUGUGUGUGUCUUUGUUUUUGUGUGUGUCUUGUGUCUGUGUCUCUGUGUGUGUCUGUGUGUGUGUGUGUCUGUGUGUCUGUGUGUGUGUGUCUGUGUAUUUGCCUGUCUGUGUCUGUCUGCGUGUGUGUGUGUCUGUGUGUCUGUGUGUGUUUGCCUGUCUGUGUGUGUGUCUGUGUGUGUGUGUGUGUCUGUGUGUCUUGUGUGUGUGUGUGUCUGCCUGUUUGCCUGCCUGCCUGUCUGUGGAGGGACGGGCUCGGAAGGCACCGCACUGGGCCGCCUGA
rnacentral:lncRNA from 1 species